UCUGUUCAUUUUUUUUUUCCUUUUUUUGUUUUCCUUUAAGAAACUUCUCAAGGAAUUGAGUGUAAGCAAUUUCUCUGGUCCAUGAAAGUUGAAAUAAUUAGACUCAUAAAGGUUCACUGUUAAAGUUUGUCCUGUCAUAUGUAUGAAUUGUACACUGGUGAAUUUCCGAAAUUUUGGCAUAAGCAUGUUGUCUAUUUUUCCUCUUCUAGUGCUGUAGCAUUGCUCAUCUUGAAUUAGGAUAACACUAUUUACAUUUUCUUCGCUAAAUUUGAAGCUAGUAAAGUCACUUCUUCGUGUUGCAGAUAUCACAUGACUGAGGAGCAGCAGUUGCUCUUGGGCAAUAGGCUGGGGUUUGUUUUCAGGUCUUAAGUCUAUAUAUUGCUUAGAAAGGAAAUGAGUAAUAGUAUAACUACACACAUUUGCAUAAUGAUAUGAUUCUCUGUUACUCCGUUAUUCAAUUAAUGCAUAUAUAAUAUAAAGGAAUGGUAUAUGGAUCUGUGCAUUGAUUUAUAUAUUACUGGUGUUUAGUGUUGAGCAAUCAUAUGGUCUAAUGAGUGUAGUAGAUCCCAAGUUUGCUGCAAAAGAGUAAGGACCAUUAUAUUUGCAUAAUGAUGUAUUUGUGGAAUUGACAGUAGAGUGAGUGACAGCAGUGAGAGAUUGUAAAAGAGGAGCACUAGAGUUCAUAAAACUAUGUAUCUUUCUACUAGUCAUUUGUAAGGAACGGCAAUAUAUCAUUAAAAGUAAUUUAUACAGCCUUUUCAAUGCAUGAAAAUUUAAAUAUCUAUUGCUUCAUAUAUGAGCUCCCUUUUUUGUCGUCGUUUCGGUGUUCUUUCUGGUUUGGCAAGCAAACUAGAAAAUUUUGGAAAUCAGGAGGAUUAUGUCUGGGAAGAUUGACAAAGUUUAGAUGAGCAUGUUCUAGUAUAGAUUUUAAAAUUGAUGUCACAAUGUAUUUGACAUUUUUACAGCCACAUCAGCGGGGUAAUAAAUGGCUUUUGUAGCAACUGCCGAAGCUUGUGAUUCAAAUGCAGCCCUUUUGGCAAGUGGUGACUUGCGAGCUUUACAACCGAUUUUCAAGAAUUAUGGCCAGAGUCGAGCAUUCUCAGGCCUCAUUGUCACUCUUAAGGUGUUUGAAGACAAUGUGAUAGUGAGGGAGCUUCUUGAAACUAAAGGUGAAGGAAGAGUUCUAGUUAUAGAUGGUGGGGGAAGCAUGAGAUGUGCUUUGGUUGGAGGAAAUCUGGGACAAUUGGCUCAAAAUAUGGGAUGGGCUGGUAUUCUAGUCAAUGGUUGCAUAAGAGAUGUG
rnacentral:misc_RNA from 1 species